UGGGGAAUUUUGCGCAAUGGGGGAAACCCUGACGCAGCAACGCCGCGUGGAGGAUGAAAUCCCUUGGGAUGUAAACUCCUUUCGAUAGGGAAGAUAAUGACGGUACCUAUAGAAGAAGCCCCGGCUAACUUCGUGCCAGCAGCCGCGGUAAUACGAGGGGGGCAAGCGUUGUUCGGAAUUAUUGGGCGUAAAGGGCGCGUAGGCGGUUUGACAAGUCUCAUGUGAAAUCUUCGGGCUCAACCCGAAGCCUGCAUGGGAAACUGUCGGGCUUGAGUAUGGGAGAGGUGAGUGGAAUUUCCGGUGUAGCGGUGAAAUGCGUAGAUAUCGGAAGGAACACCUGUGGCGAAAGCGGCUCACUGGACCAUAACUGACGCUGAGGCGCGAAAGCUAGGGGAGCAAACA
rnacentral:rRNA from 1 species